UCCAAUCAAAAACCACUUAAGCCAACAAUGAACUUGAAGAUGCCAAUCCACAUCUGAGCUUUCACAGGAAUGUGGCUUGGCUGGUAAAAACUGAGUUAUGCAUGGACAUGUGGCUUGCCCAUGUGACUCCAAAACUCCAUCUUAGAGCUGGAUUUUGCAUAGGAGAGAGAAGGGGGUUUCCACCCACAAGGGAAAGUCUAUUUAACCCCCUGGGAGACCACUCCAUUUUUUCUUCAGCUGGCUAAAGAGAGAGCCUCUCCACCCCCAAGAUACCUGAAAGAAACUGGAACAAAGGACAGUAACUACACAGGAUGUGAGUGAUUGCUGGACCCAGACUAGCAGGAGACUAGUCUGUAAAAGGAAGCUUACUGGAACUGACCGGAUAAUUGAUAAAUUGAAUGGAUCAAGUUUAAGUGGAUUUAUUGAAAGGAAGUGAGGAGACACUAGCCCAGACAGCAGAAAUGACAGGUCAUGGAGUGAGCACUUCCUAUGAAGCAGGAAUCCG